AUACGUAGGGGGCGAGCGUUGUCCGGAAUGACUGGGCGUAAAGGGCGUGUAAGCGGAGAUGCAAGUCAGGAGUGAAAUCUAGGGGCUCAACCCCUAAACUGCUUUUGAAACUGUAUCCCUUGAGUAUCGGAGAGGCAGGCGGAAUUCCUAGUGUAGCGGUGAAAUGCGUAGAUAUUAGGAGGAACACCAGUGGCGAAGGCGGCCUGCUGGACGACAACUGACGCUGAGGCGCGAAAGCGUGGGGAGCAAACAGGAUUAGAUACCCUGGUAGUCCACGCUGUAAACGAUGAAUACUAGGUGUGGGGGGACUGACCCCCUCCGUGCCGCAGUUAACACAAUAAGUAUUCCACCUGGGGAGUACGAUCGCAAGAUUGAAACUCAAAUGAAUUGACGGGG
rnacentral:rRNA from 1 species